rnacentral:snRNA from 1 species
AUGCUUACCUGGUAAGGGAAAUACCAUGACCACGAAGGUGGUUUUCUCAGGGCGAGACUUACCUAUUGCACUACGGGUGUGCUGACUCUGCGAUUUCCCCAAAUAUGGGAAACUCGACUGCAUGAUUUGUGGUAGUGGGGGACUGCGUUCGCGCUUUUUCCUG